UUUGAGGCGAUGACCCUUUCCUCAAAUUAUCGACUAUGGUUAUACUGUGCGAUUUUUGAGGAGUUCUCUUUGGACAAGACUCUAAGCCAGAUGUUCUGACCAAA
rfam:Dichanthelium oligosanthes cultivar Kellogg 1175 unplaced genomic scaffold Do_version_2_scaffold10509, whole genome shotgun sequence.